rnacentral:rRNA from 1 species
AUAGCGUAUAUUAAAGUUGUUGCAGUUAAAAAGCUCGUAGUUGAAUUUCGGGAUCAAUAUGUCGGUCGUGCCUUCGGUACGUACUGGUAUCAUUGGUCUCUCCUUUCUGACGAACCAUGAUGUCAUUAAUUUGGUGUUAUGGGGAGUUAGGACUGUUACUUUGAAAAAAUUAGAGUGUUUAAAGCAGGCUUUAGCUUGAAUACAUUAGCAUGGAAUAAUGAAAUAGGACGUUCGAACCUAUUUUGUUGGUUUCUAGGAUCAACGUAAUGAUUAAUAGGGAUAGUUGGGGGCAUUAGUAUUCAAUUGUCAGAGGUGAAAUUCUUGGAUUUAUUGAAGACUAACUACUG